GCUGGUAAUGAAGGGUGAGUGAAAUCAUUUGGUCAGUCUUUGCCCUUUGCAUCCUACAAUUUCUAUGUAAUUUCAAGCAAAAAUAACAGGUGAAGGCUUUGAGAAAGAAGUGAAGAGUGCCUGAGACUCAAGCACAGUGGCCCUCAGAGGAAAUGAAGGUAUAGAAGGAGGACUUCAGGCAGCAUGCCUCUUACUUUACAAUUGUGCCCAGAGCCAGAGCUGCCAGGCAACAGUGCCUCACUUCUGGACAGAGAAUGGGCUUAUCCUAUAUCAUUUCUAAGGUCAUCAGAACCACUGUCCUUCAACUCCAUGUUCCAGAAAGUAAGAAAAUCAAGGGACAUUUGAUAUUUGUUAGUGCUGAUCACUCAAUUCCCCUCUUGAGGAAAUAAAAAUAGACCAUUCAGUAUUGCUGUAUUGAACAUA